rnacentral:rRNA from 1 species
CAGCCGCGCGGUAAUACGGAGGGUGCAAGCGUUAAUCGGAAUUACUGGGCGUAAAGCGCACGCAGGCGGUCUGACAAGUCAGAUGUGAAAUCCCCGGGCUUAACCUGGGAACUGCAUUUGAAACUGUCAGGCUGGAGUCUUGUAGAGGGGGGUGGAAUUCCAGGUGUAGCGGUGAAAUGCGUAGAGAUCUGGAGGAAUACCGGUGGCGAAGGCGGCCCCCUGGACAAAGACUGACGCUCAGGUGCGAAAGCGUGGGGAGCAAACAGGAUUAGAUACCCGAGUAGUCCCUGUCUCUUAUACA